CAAGGGGGGGGGGAGACCCCGAAAGGUUGGGGGUUGCAGGGGGUGCAGGCUGAGGGAAAGGGAAGGAGGGAGGACAGCACCCUCUUUCCCCUCACAGAUUGUUACCUCCUGUGACCCCCACAACCUGCUCUCAGUUGGUCAUUGGAAGAAGACAGCUUUCCCAGGAAGCCUGGGGGAAUACUGGAUUCCGUUUCUUUUAGCUGGUGGGCUGAGAGGCCUACUCACCUUUACAAAGAUGGAGUGUUAGCAAGCCCAGAACUCAGGGAAGAGGCCCUUCCCUGGCCCUCACUACCUCUGACCUCCCACGAAGUUGAAGACUUAAGUUUUCCAUUCCGGUGCACACCCUUCACAGCUUUUUAAAAAACGUUCCCAGCCAUCUGUCUAGAAACCCACAUCCUUAGUUAGGGGCCCAACACCUUGAACACCAGAAUUCUUCAGCUGGUCUCUGCACCCUUAAGCACAGGCUUCCUCAGAGAAGUAAAAUUAAAAAAAUUAAAAUAAAAUAAAAAAAUAAAAAGUUCUGUACAGGAAUUUGGAUUGAAUAAUUUAUUCCCUGUAUUAUGAUAGUAAUGGGAGCAAAUACACAAUUUUUUAUUAAUAAAACAAAAAAAGAUGAAAAACAGAAGCAACAAAUGAAGACAUCCAUACUGCCCAUAAUACAUCAGCCAUGCGAUCAGAAAACCCAUUUCUAAAGAACAACGGUUGCUGGUGUCCGAGUUUUAUUGCAUUCAUCGGGGGAAAGGGAGAUGGUUGGAAUGAAAAAGAUCCAUCAGUCUUCUGACAGGAAGAUGUUAUAAGGGGGCUCCAACCCCAAUGGGUACGCCUCUUGUUACCACCUUUGGAGCAGAAGAUGAAGGGGAGAGAGAGCUUCUCCCUAUGGCCUCAUGGCUUCUUGUGAGACAGAUCAGUCCAGCCAGAUACAGAGCAAAGCAGCUUUGCAUCACCACAGGCCAGUUGCUGGUGCCCACCUUUAUGU